AACCAUCGAGUGAUUAACAUGCAUAAUGUUGUUGGCUAGUUUCAGAUCUUGGAAAGAUCAUUCUCCUUCCUAAAUUUGGUGAGCUUCCUCAAUGAUCUGUUGUUGGAGAUACAUUUCCGGUAGGCUGCGCCUUUGAUAAGGCAAAUAUUCAUGACAAGUAAUUCAAGGACAACCCGGAUUCCGAAUACCCUGCUAACAACACUAAAAAGGGGAUCUACGCCGAAGGAUGUGGACUAGAGAACGUAACGAUGUCUUGGGAACAUGAUGAAUACAUGUAUAUGGUUGCUAAGGAAAAUAGCACCACUCUUCCAUCUACUGGAUUGUUCAUUAUCAGAUUUCACUCUAUCUAUUUCCCUGGAAAGGUUAGAUGGUGAACCAUUUGAGGUCAAGGCCAAGGCUUUGAGGAGAUUGGCUUUUAGUAAUAUUCUGGGCAGCGAGCAAUUUACUAAAUGCACUUAUGUAUUCACUUGCAAGAUGCAAUCUUCAAUAGUAAUAAAUUUCAUAUCCAGUCAAAUGAUUAUUUCUUAUGAUUCGCAUUUUUUUUUAUUACGAUGCCCAAAUG